CAGACACCACCAGUGCCGUCACAAGAGCAGCGGCUCCUUGGCUAACCUGCAUCUGUCCGUGCCGUUCCCUCCGCUGCGCUGAUGAAACCUCCUCACGGAUGAGCUCCUCCUUGUUGGAAGCAAGCCUGGGAAACGUCUGCUGAGUGAGAUACUUUGCAUGACGCUCGUAGACGCUGGGCCAGCAAGCGUGACUCUGAGAGGAUACAGCACCAGGCUUCUGAGGAGCGGGAAGUGAGGGUUGAGGAAAGACGUCAGCAGGAGCUGAGCAGGAACUGGCCAGCUCCACAGGCGGUGGUGGAGAAGCCAUGCCUGGGGAGAAACAGCCAAGGAAGGGCCUCAGGCGCUUGUUUUUAAAGACUGUGUCACGCUGAAGUACUGAGUGAAGCAGGUGUUCCAUAAGGAGUGCUCCACUGAUAAGGAUGGGGUUGUCAUUGCUAAUCUAAGGAAAAAUCGUUCUGCAUCAGUGCUCUGCACGCACACGCUCUGCUCCUAUCUGGCCAAACCGUUUUCCAUUCCAGUUAUCAGUGUCUCCUCUCCGAGUCUCUGACUCUGCCAUGACCACCUUCUCGUUUGCACUUCCUGUUUCCUGAAGGGAGAACAUCUUCAGCUGGCUCAGCGGGGAGUUUCGCACAGCCACAUGGCACCUCCCUGCACUACGGUGAUCGAUCCGUAUUUAAACCCUGACGUGCACUGUCCGGCGUCUGGAUCUGAUUGCUCUACCAGCCUCGCAAUGUCUACGACCACGCCGCUCUCUCAAACAUUUGCAGUUGCUUUCUUUUGGAAGGAGAAGAAAUGGCCAUAGCUUGUAAUUCUUCUCUUCUUUCAGGCUUUUUUAGAGUUCCAGUUCUGCCACACUCAGUUAAUCCUCAAGUAGAGCCCUGUGUUCUCUCCGUGCUGGGUCCAUAUCACGCAGCUGUUUUUCUGAUGUCGUACAUCAGUGUAAACAAGGAUGAAGAGAGUUGGCCGUGUUUGUCUCUGAUUUUGUUUCAUCUCAGGAAAAACCGAAGAGGAGGAGCCAGGUCAGGAGCCUGGUAAAAGACGGAUGGAAGAAUGCGCUUUUAGAUCUGCAGCCAUGACGGACCUCGGUGCUGAAACCCCGAAUGAGAUGGUCAGAACAGCGGCCCACGUCAGAGGCUUUGCCCUUCUCUCGCUGCUUCCCGGCCACCAUGGUGUGAGCAGCUUUCGUCUGCCAGGAUUUUCCACCGUGCUUUCGGCCUUGGGUUAGCUAACUAAGCUCUGUGCCUAUCUCACAAAAUAAACUUUCUUAAGCUGCA